rnacentral:rRNA from 1 species
CACAAGCGGUGGAGCAUGUGGUUAAUUCGACGCAACGCGAAGAACCUUACCAGGGCUUGACAUCCCUGACCGCGUAUGAAAGUACGUUUCACCCUCGGGUGACAGGGAGACAGGUGGUGCAUGGUUGUCGUCAGCUCGUGUCGUGAGAUGUUGGGUUAAGUCCCGUAACGAGCGCAACCCUUGUCCUUAGUUACCAGCACAUAAUGGUGGGCACUCUAAGGAGACUGCCGGUGACAAACCGGAGGAAGGUGGGGAUGACGUCAAGUCAUCAUGGCCCUUACGGCCAGGGCUACACACGUGCUACAAUGGGGGGUACAAAGGGUUGCCAAGCCGCGAGGUGGAGCUAAUCCCAUAAAACCUCUCGUAGUCCGGAUCGGAGUCUGCAACUCGACUCCGUGAAGUCGGAAUCGCUAGUAAUCGUGGAUCAGAACGCCACGGUGAAUACGUUCCCGGGCCUU